AGCCAGGUUCGCUAGAGUCAGGCAAAUCUACGGGCAGGCCCAGCAGCGGUCAGGACCCCGAGGCUCGCAGGCGACUUCCGGAGACAGCCGCCAGGCGGCGCCUGGAGCUAGAACUAAAGCGGUGAUCGUUAGCGACCUAGGGGCGGAGGGUUUGAAGGGCCCUUGGCAGGUGGAGGUGGUCUCUAAUUUAAGCAGGGAACGACGCGACCUGCCCCCUUAUUAGGUCGGAAAACCUAGACGUCCAGAGUGUGCGUGAUCAUGCAGCCUGGCUCCUCCUGUGACUAGUUAGAGCUUUAUUAAGAGCUAAAAGACAAGGAUGCUGAUAUUCCAUCCUGGGGACAGCAAAAUAGUAUUUUCCCAGCCCUUAGGAAUCCUUUCUGUUUGUGUAAGGUUUAUUCGCUUGCUCUGAGCUCUCAACUGAAGAAGGGGAGAAUUUGCCUACCAGAAGUUAUUUGGCUAAGGCCCACGUGGAAGCUUAAAAAACAGGAGAGCUGAGUAUCUGCAAGAAUUAAUUUGUGCGAUUCCCUCUGAGUAGAAAAGGAACACGGUGUUAUAAGUUUUGCUGAACGAAUAGAUUUAAGGUGUCCCUUUAGCUAAGAGCAAUGUGGUCUAGUUGUGUGUAGCGAGAAAAAAGGGUAAGGUUUUUAAUGGUUUGUCCAAAGUAGCCCCACUUUUAUGUUCCACCCGAGUCUCCGUAGGAAACGCAACCAGUAGUGAAAAUGAACAGAUGUGAAAACCAGGGUGGAACCGAAUAUUCCCAUUCUCAGACCUUUUGUGAUUAAAUUUAUCUCUGAAUUGUUCCCUAUGGACUCUUCUGAAAAUGAAACGUUAUUCUCAUCCCACUUAUUUUGACAUUUAUUUACUACCUUGUUUUAAUUAAAAUCUUGGCUCUAUUUGUAAGUGAUUUUUUCUCCCAACAAAACUAAAGAAUUUCCAGAAUGGAAUGCUAAGAUGUCUUUCCAGGAGUUCUGAGAUCUUCUGAAGCCCCUUCUAAAUAAGAAUCAUUCUCAGAUCGCACCGUAGGUCUGCCAUCUAUAUUUAAACUAGGAUUCCAGAACUGUCUCUUGUCCAAAAGAUGAAGUCAUUUUCUUUCUUUGUGCUGUUGGAGAACAUCUAAAUUACUUGCAAUCAACUAUAUUGAGUAACUUGCGUUCCUGUCAGUAGCAGUAAUCAUAGUGCAGAAAAAGCAAAGAUUUUAGAAAUCAAGAGUUCAUUGAUACAAUUAAUUUUUAAGUUUAUUUCGUUGCUAAAUGGUUUCCUUUCAAGACGCUGAGAUUUUUAUCCUGCUUAUGUUUUACUGCUGUCUUCUUGACUGCAAACAGCAUCUGUUAAUGGUCAUGCAUUUCUUUUUUAUAUGUAAUGAAUAGACACAACUGAGCACUUGGGUUAUGAAAACUUACCCCAUUUUUUUCUGUCCAGAUUGCCAGCUGCAGAACUAAAAAAUGCUCUUUAGUGAAGGUGGACCUACUCAAAAAAAUUCUCUUAUGGCUUUAGUCUUACCUAACCUUUAGAUUUAUUUAAUAUGAUUUUGGACAGUCGCUAUACUCCUGUAAAAAUCAAGUUCCCUCAAAACCAAGUUUUACCACCUUGAAAUCUUUUUAUAUAUCCCUUCUCAAAACGGUACUCAGCCACACCGCUCAGGAACUCGACUUGACUUGAAACGAAGCCCUGCCAGCCCCAUUUCCACAACUUCUUUGCUUCCAGGCCUUCUCUGCCUACCCUAACACCCAAACUGAAACUUUAAAGGGGGACAUCACAAUUGGAAUGGAGUAUGAUUCUUUUUUUUCUUUUUCUUUUUUUCUUUUUUUGAGACGGAGUUUUGCUCUUUCACCCAGGCUGGAGUGAAGUGAUGCGAUCUCGACUCACUGCAACCUCCGCCUCCGGGUUCAAGUGAUUCUCCUGCCUCAGCCUUUCUAGUAGCUGGGAUUACAGGUGGGUGCCACCAUGCCCGGCUAAUUUUUGUAUUUUUCGUACAGACGGGAUUUCACCAUGUUGGCCAGGCAGGUCUGGAACCCUUGACCUCAGGUGAUGAAUGGCGU
rnacentral:lncRNA from 10 species